UACAGAGGGUGCAAGCGUUGUUCGGAAUUAUUGGGCGUAAAGGGCGCGUAGGCGGCAAUUCAAGUCAUCUGUGAAAUCUCCGGGCUUAACCCGGAACGGUCAGGUGAUACUGUUUUGCUAGAGUGCGGAAGGGGCAAUCGGAAUUCUCGGUGUAGCGGUGAAAUGCGUAGAUAUCAGGAGGAACACCUGUGGCGAAAGCGGCUCACUGGACCACAACUGACGCUGAUGCACGAAAGCUAGGGGAGCAAACAGG
rnacentral:rRNA from 1 species